rnacentral:rRNA from 1 species
UACGGGGGGAGCAAGCGUUGUUCGGAAUUACUGGGCGUAAAGCGCGCGCAGGCGGUCUUUCAAGUCAGUGGUGAAAGCCUGGAGCUCAACUCCAGAACUGCCAUUGAAACUGCAAGACUUGAGUACGAGAGAGGUGAGUGGAAUUCCCAGUGUAGAGGUGAAAUUCGUAGAUAUUGGGAAGAACACCGGUGGCGAAGGCGGCUCACUGGCUCGUAACUGACGCUCAGGCGCGACAGCGUGGGGAUCAAACAGG